rnacentral:rRNA from 1 species
UACGUAGGGUGCAGGCGUUAAUCGGAAUUACUGGGCGUAAAGCGUGCGCAGGCGGUCUUUUAAGUCAGAUGUGAAAUCCCCGGGCUUAACCUGGGAACUGCGUUUGAAACUGGAAGGCUAGAGUGUGGCAGAGGGGGGUGGAAUUCCACGUGUAGCAGUGAAAUGCGUAGAUAUGUGGAGGAACACCGAUGGCGAAGGCAGCCCCCUGGGUCAAGACUGACGCUCAUGCACGAAAGCGUGGGGAGCAAACAGG